CAAUUGUGCCUUUAUUUAUAGUAGUGGGAUAAGUUAAAUCCUUACCCUUUUAUGAUUACAACUCUAAUAUGAUAUUAGCUACUAAAGGGAAUAUUCAAGAUAUCUCUAGAUACACUAGGAUUUACACAAUCACAUUCAUAUUUUAAAUAUGAUUGCAACACUUCCCCUUAAGUGUGUAAAUACUCAACAAAACAUUGCAUCAGAUCUUCAGCAGAUAAGGCAUAACAAUUGAUAAAGUCGGCGGCACAACAGGCGAAUGUGAGUCUUAAAUUUAAAAGAAAGUAUGCAUUGGUAGUAAAACUCACAAAACCCCACUAUGGUAAAACCCAAGGUGGGAGAAAAACUCAUAGACUAAGGAGAAAAGUGAUAAGCAUGAAUAAUGUCUAAAACAAAUGUCAAACAUGACAAAAGUAGUGAACUCAACAUAGUAUGAUCAUCCCAUGAUUGGUGCCUUGUUAAAACCUCGUUAGGUAACAAAAACCUAGUGGGAAAAAAUGCUCCUAAUCAUAGGAAAAAAAAGUACAUUAAGAUCAAGUGAGUAUGCUUCAGGAUAUUCCCCCUGAGUUAGACAUAACUUCCAAAUAAGAGAACUACAAGU
rnacentral:lncRNA from 1 species